GAGCAAAUUCAGAUAUUUUCUGGUACCU
rnacentral:piRNA from 1 species